rnacentral:rRNA from 1 species
UGGGGAUUAUUGCACAAUGGAGGGAACUCUGAUGCAGCGACGCCGCGUGAACGAAGAAGGCUUUCGAGUCGUAAAGUUCUUUUAUAUGGGAAGAUAAUGACGGUACCAUAAGAAAAAGCCCCGGCUAACUACGUGCCAGCAGCCGCGGUAAUACGUAGGGGGCUAGCGUUGUCCGGAAUCACUGGGCGUAAAGGGUUCGCAGGCGGAAAUGCAAGUCAGGUGUAAAAGGCAGUAGCUUAACUACUGUAAGCAUUUGAAACUGCAUAUCUUGAGAGGAGUAGAGGUAAGUGGAAUUUUUAGUGAAGCGGUGAAAUGCGUAGAUAUUAAAAAGAAUACCGGAGGCGAAGGCGACUUACUGGGCUCAUUCUGACGCUGAGGAACGAAAGCGUGGGUAGCAAACAAG